GAAUUCAACUCCUACGGGAGGCAGCAGUGGGGAAUAUUGCACAAUGGGCGAAAGCCUGAUGCAGCGACGCCGCGUGAGGGAUGACGGCCUUCGGGUUGUAAACCUCUUUCAGUAGGGACGAAGCGAGAGUGACGGUACCUGCAGAAGAAGCACCGGCUAACUACGUGCCAGCAGCCGCGGUAAUACGUAGGGUGCGAGCGUUGUCCGGAAUUAUUGGGCGUAAAGAGCUUGUAGGCGGUUUGUCGCGUCUGCUGUGAAAGACCGGGGCUUAACUCCGGUUCUGCAGUGGGUACGGGCAGGCUAGAGUAUGGUAGGGGAGACUGGAAUUCCUGGUGUAGCGGUGAAAUGCGCAGAUAUCAGGAGGAACACCGAUGGCGAAGGCAGGUCUCUGGGCCAUUACUGACGCUGAGAAGCGAAAGCAUGGGGAGCGAACAGGAUUAGAUACCCUAGUAGUCCAGGCGUU
rnacentral:rRNA from 1 species